rnacentral:lncRNA from 1 species
CUCGGGAGCCGUCCUCUGGAAUCUUAAACGGAACAGACGCUGACGUGAGUCGCACGAAAGAGAUUGAUCGGCGACAGCUUUUCAAAAGAGAUCCGGGGAUGCCUUUGCAAGGAUAGGAAAAAUGGGUUCGACGGUAAUUUCCCGACAUGUCAAAAUUAAAGGGACGAAGAAAGAGUCUUCGAGACAACUGUUGUCUGUCCAGAAGUGUGAGCUUCGACCGCGUUUCGGCUUCGCGUACAAGUUACACAUUUCCACUUCUCGCUGUACGCCCUGGUCGCCCUCAUUGGCUUAGGUCGCUCCUCCAACACGACUUUCUGGGACCGCCACGAAAGAGAGGCGUCUAUAUGAGGUGAAUGCUGUUUUGUUUUCUCGGCAAGAAAUGAAGUGCGCGAUGAUUUGGCCUGGUGGGGCGGGCCAACAGAGAGGAUGGCCCUCUUCUUUUGUUUGAUCUCGGGCAGCUUCAGUGCACGGAGGUCGCGCACAUACGGGAAAGACGCCCCCUCUUUCGGCGCCGGAGUGGAUUUUGAUGGGAGACCUUCCAGGGCGACGCUGUCCGUAGAAAGGUCGCCAUCUAAACGCUUGAGGAGAAACUGCUUCUGGGUUAAUUCCUCCACGACACAAAGGUACUGCCGCCUGAACCGUGCCCUGGCGCUGUCGUUUGCGAGACGUUCUUGAUUCGCGCACUUCUUUGCUUCACACACAACCUUUCUGGACUGUGGGUCAGGCUGGAGAAGAGCUUUGACAGUCGCCCUUGUUUUCAGUCCUUUUGCAUUCCGGAGAACAGCAAGGAGU